GGUAGGAUGGCUGAGAGUUUAAGCGGUGGAUUGUAACCCCACACACAGGGACUUAAAACCCCUUCCUGCCA
rnacentral:tRNA from 1 species